rfam:Clostridium sp. FS41 CLFS41_contig000027, whole genome shotgun sequence.
GUGUCAGUAAUGGCAUAGAUGAAGGAAGCGCAUAGCAAAGUUCUCGAGCCUACGAACAGAAACUUGAUAAGGCGAUGAGGUGGGUAAGGUUGCAUGACAAACUAAAGCCCAAAGGGUAAACGUAUAACCGAAAUUGUAAAUCAAGAGGUUGUGGAACGAAAGAUUAGUGU